rnacentral:rRNA from 1 species
UCCAGACUCCUACGGGAGGCAGCAGUGGGGAAUAUUGGGCAAUGGGCGCAAGCCUGACCCAGCAACGCCGCGUGAAGGAAGAAGGCUUUCGGGUUGUAAACUUCUUUUCUGAGGGACGAAGCAAGUGACGGUACCUUAGGAAUAAGCCACGGCUAACUACGUGCCAGCAGCCGCGGUAAUACGCAGGUGGCAAGCGUUAUCCGGAUUUACUGGGUGUAAAGGGCGUGUAGGCGGGAAAGCAAGUCAGAUGGUAAAACCACGGGCUCAACCUGUGGCCUGCAUUUGAAACUGGUUUUCUUGAGUACGGGAGAGGCAGACGGAAUUCCUAGCGUAGCGGUGAAAUGCGUAGAUAUUAGGAGGAACACCAGUGGCGAAGGCGGUCUGCUGGACAGCAACUGACGCUGAGGCGCGAAAGCGUGGGGAGCAAACAGGAUUAGAUACCCCAGUAC